UACGUAGGGGGCAAGCGUUGUCCGGAUUUAUUGGGCGUAAAGAGCGUGUAGGCGGCCUGAAAGGUCAGCUGUGAAAACUCGAGGCUCAACCUCGAGACGUCGGUUGAAACCAUCUGGCUAGAGUCCGGAAGAGGAGUGUGGAAUUCCCGGUGUAGCGGUGAAAUGCGCAGAUAUCGGGAAGAACACCCGUUGCGAAGGCGGCACUCUGGGACGGUACUGACGCUGAGACGCGAAAGCGUGGGGAGCGAACAGG
rnacentral:rRNA from 1 species